rnacentral:misc_RNA from 1 species
GUGAGUUUCAUUUUGUCUGGCCAUGGUCAAGUAUUCUUUUGCAGACGAUAGGCUAGGAUGAGCUAUUUAAUUGGUCGUUUAACAUAUGAAAUAUUUGGAAAAUAAUAUAAUUUAUCGUAAAAAAAUUUCAUCCAUUCCUUGUUGAAUAGUUAAUUUUUAGGUGUAGCAUUUUGCUCACCCGCUCCCUUAAAGAGAAAAAAAAAAAAAAGAGCAAGCAAGAAAGAAAAGUUUAGCCUUUUAACUUUGUGGCAGAUGAGAGUAACAUAAAUUGUUGAACUGUGCAGCCAUUGAGAGCUGCAAUUGCUUCGACAUU